GUCCCAGACUCCUACGGGAGGCAGCAGUGGGGAAUAUUGCACAAUGGGCGAAAGCCUGAUGCAGCAACGCCGCGUGAAGGAAGAAGGGUUUCGGCUCGUAAACUUCUAUCAACAGGGACGAAAGAAAUGACGGUACCUGAAUAAGAAGCCCCGGCUAACUACGUGCCAGCAGCCGCGGUAAUACGUAGGGGGCAAGCGUUAUCCGGAUUUACUGGGUGUAAAGGGAGCGUAGACGGCUAGUCAAGUCAGAAGUGAAAGCCCAGGGCUCAACCUUGGGACUGCUUUUGAAACUGAGUAGCUAGAGUGCAGGAGAGGUAAGCGGAAUUCCUAGUGUAGCGGUGAAAUGCGUAGAUAUUAGGAGGAACACCAGUGGCGAAGGCGGCUUACUGGACUGUAACUGACGUUGAGGCUCGAAAGCGUGGGGAGCAAACAGGAUUAGAUACCCGUGUA
rnacentral:rRNA from 1 species